rnacentral:tRNA from 1 species
GGCCUCUUAGCUCAGUUGGCUAGAGCGUUGACUGUACUAAAGCCUUCCCCUUGCUGGCGUGGGUUUGAAUCCCACCAAGGUCG